GAUUAAUUAAUUAUAAAUAUAAUAUAUGUUUUGAAAGCAUAGUAUAGAGGUUAAACACCCCUAUUAAUCU
rnacentral:tRNA from 1 species